GCCAGUGUAGUGUAGUGGGCUGAAUGUUGGACUACAACUUUAAAGACCAGGGUUUGAUUCCCUGCUCAGCCA